rnacentral:rRNA from 1 species
UACGGAGGGUGCAAGCGUUAUCCGGAUUCACUGGGUUUAAAGGGUGCGUAGGUGGGUUUGUAAGUCAGUGGUGAAAUCUCCAAGCUUAACUUGGAAACUGCCGUUGAUACUAUAAAUCUUGAAUGUUGUGGAGGUGAGCGGAAUAUGUCAUGUAGCGGUGAAAUGCUUAGAUAUGACAUAGAACACCAAUUGCGAAGGCAGCCCACUACACAAAGAUUGACACUGAGGCACGAAAGCGUGGGGAUCAAACAGG